UACAGAGGGGGCAAGCGUUGUUCGGAAUUACUGGGCGUAAAGGGCGCGUAGGCGGCCUGCUAAGUCGAACGUGAAAUCCCCGAGCUCAACUCGGGAACUGCGUCCGAUACUGGCAGGCUUGAAUCCGGGAGAGGGAUGCGGAAUUCCAGGUGUAGCGGUGAAAUGCGUAGAUAUCUGGAGGAACACCCGUGGCGAAGGCGGCAUCCUGGACCGGCAUUGACGCUGAGGCGCGAAAGCCAGGGGAGCAAACGGG
rnacentral:rRNA from 1 species